CCUAGGGGGGCUGCAGUGGGGAAUAUUGGACAAUGGGCGAAAGCCUGAUCCAGCCAUGCCGCGUGUGUGAAGAAGGCCUUCGGGUUGUAAAGCACUUUCAGUGGGGAAGAAAGCCUUGGGGCUAAUACCCUCGAGGAAGGACAUCACCCACAGAAGAAGCACCGGCUAACUCCGUGCCAGCAGCCGCGGUAAUACGGAGGGUGCGAGCGUUAAUCGGAAUUACUGGGCGUAAAGCGCGCGUAGGCGGUCUGAUAAGCCGGUUGUGAAAGCCCCGGGCUCAACCUGGGAACGGCAUCCGGAACUGUCAGGCUAGAGUGCAGGAGAGGAAGGUAGAAUUCCCGGUGUAGCGGUGAAAUGCGUAGAGAUCGGGAGGAAUACCAGUGGCGAAGGCGGCCUUCUGGACUGACACUGACGCUGAGGUGCGAAAGCGUGGGUAGCAAACAGGAUUAGAUACCCUUGUAGUC
rnacentral:rRNA from 1 species